rnacentral:rRNA from 1 species
CAGGCCUAACACAUGCAAGUCGAACGCUCGUAGCAAUACGGGAGUGGCAGACGGGUGAGUAACGCGUGGGAAUUGACCCAAUGGUACGGAAUAACUCAGGGAAACUUGAGCUAAUACCGUAUGUGCCCGAAAGGGGAAAGAUUUAGCGCCAUUGGAUGAGCCCGCGUCGGAUUAGCGAGUUGGUGGGGUAAUGGCCCACCAAGGCGACGAUCCGGAGCUGGGAUGAGAGGAUGAGCAGCCACACUGGGACUGAGACACGGCCCAGACGCUGACGGGAGGCAGCAUUGGGGAAGAUGGGACAAUGGGCGCAAGCCUGGACCAGCCAUGCCGCGGGAGUGAUGAAGGCCCGAGGGUUGGAAAGCGAUUGAGACGGGGACGAGAAUGACGGAACCCGGAGAAGAAGCCCCGGCGAACGGAGUGCCAGCAGCCGCG